rnacentral:lncRNA from 1 species
AUGGCUUCAGCCAGUCCCUCCACUUGGGGUCCCUGACUUCCCGCAACAGUAAAUGAAUGCCAAACUACAUAUGAAAAUGAAAACGACCAAAACCGAAAGAGAUCUGGGUUCUCAUGUCAAUUCUAUUAUUUACAAGGCAUACUAUUCAAGUCCUAUAAAACUAACCCUAAAUGUUCUUAUCUGUAAAGGAGAUGGGGGUGGGGGAAAUAACAUCUGCCUACCACUCUUUUCAAGUAUGCUAUAAAGCACAAUAAACUAAUGUACAUGAAAAGUGUUAGAAAGUGAAAAUAGCUAUAAAUAUACAGAGCAUCAAGGAAGACUGAACAAAAUGCUAUUAGCCAUGAAUCACCCAUACCAUUUUAGGCCUCUGAAAUAAAAAGUAGUCAGAACAGUUUGAAACAUGGGAAAUAGCACCAGUACUUAACAGGGAUGGCAAAAGACUGAAGAAAUGCCCAGUCAUCUAUCGAAUUGCUAAGGAAGUCAGCCAGCUAAUCAAAGAUAUAUGGAGGCCUAUCACUCCACAAUUCCACAACAGUGAUUUAUCCAAAAGAUUUAAAAAAUCCAUCCAAGAAUGCUCAUAGCAGUUUUAUUCCUAACCACCAAAAACCAGAAAUGCAAAUGUCCAUCAACAGAAAAAUGGAUAAACAAACAGUAUAUCUGUACUAUUACUCAGCAAUGAAAAUGAACCAAUAAUGCAUGAAACAUGGAUAAAUCUCAAAAACGUUGAACAAAAGAAGUCGUGACACAAGAAUACAUAUUGUAUGAUUCCAUUUUUAUAAAGUUCUAGAAUACGGAAAUUAUGCUAAGAGAAAUCAGAACAGUGGUUGCCUCUGGGGACAGGGAAGACUGAAAACGGACAUGAGGGAACUUGCUGGGAGAAUUGUUUUCUUCCUUGCUCCUAAAUCACAGAGGAGAUAGUCCAUAACCAGUGAGCUGGGCCAGAAGCUAAGUACUUUUAUCCCUCUUCCCAAACUGGAAAUAAUGCUUUUCUUUGGCUACCUAACAGUGCAGUGGCAAAAGGUUCAGAUUCGGUUUUCAGGCUCAGAGUAGAAUGAGCAAAAACCAAUGACAUUUCCACUUUUCCAACUAUAAUGCUGAAAAAAAUAGCUGCUGCACUGUAUCUUUUAAGAGUGUUGUGGAUACCAGCUAUUGUGGGUUUGUUCAACUCCCAACCCCUGGCAACUCAGAAUAUGACUUUAACUGGAGAUAGACUCUUUACAGAGGUGCCACGCCAAAAAUUAUACCUCUCAUCCACAAAUCUUAGAGUUGCAUCAUGUACAAAUACUUGGUUUCUGAAGAAUUCUGGACUGCAAGUUAAAGAAAAUGAGGAAGUUGAGGCUCAGAGAGCAAAUAAACUUCAAAAGAUCAUGGAGGUGCUAAGAGAGGUUACCAUACCAGAUAAAAUAAGAAGUUCAAUGAUUUCUGCAUCUCCAAGG